rnacentral:hammerhead_ribozyme from 1 species
ACCCAGCUUACGAGUCCUGAAUGGGACGAAACGCGAGUCCUGGAU